GAUGAACGCUGGCGGCGUGCCUAAUACAUGCAAGUCGAGCGAACGGACGAGAAGCUUGCUUCUCUGAUGUUAGCGGCGGACGGGUGAGUAACACGUGGAUAACCUACCUAUAAGACUGGGAUAACUUCGGGAAACCGGAGCUAAUACCGGAUAAUAUUUUGAACCGCAUGGUUCAAAAGUGAAAGACGGUCUUGCUGUCACUUAUAGAUGGAUCCGCGCUGCAUUAGCUAGUUGGUAAGGUAACGGCUUACCAAGGCAACGAUGCAUAGCCGACCUGAGAGGGUGAUCGGCCACACUGGAACUGAGACACGGUCCAGACUCCUACGGGAGGCAGCAGUAGGGAAUCUUCCGCAAUGGGCGAAAGCCUGACGGAGCAACGCCGCGUGAGUGAUGAAGGUCUUCGGAUCGUAAAACUCUGUUAUUAGGGAAGAACAUAUGUGUAAGUAACUGUGCACAUCUUGACGGUACCUAAUCAGAAAGCCACGGCUAACUACGUGCCAGCAGCCGCGGUAAUACGUAGGUGGCAAGCGUUAUCCGGAAUUAUUGGGCGUAAAGCGCGCGUAGGCGGUUUUUUAAGUCUGAUGUGAAAGCCCACGGCUCAACCGUGGAGGGUCAUUGGAAACUGGAAAACUUGAGUGCAGAAGAGGAAAGUGGAAUUCCAUGUGUAGCGGUGAAAUGCGCAGAGAUAUGGAGGAACACCAGUGGCGAAGGCGACUUUCUGGUCUGUAACUGACGCUGAUGUGCGAAAGCGUGGGGAUCAAACAGGAUUAGAUACCCUGGUAGUCCACGCCGUAAACGAUGAGUGCUAAGUGUUAGGGGGUUUCCGCCCCUUAGUGCUGCAGCUAACGCAUUAAGCACUCCGCCUGGGGAGUACGACCGCAAGGUUGAAACUCAAAGGAAUUGACGGGGACCCGCACAAGCGGUGGAGCAUGUGGUUUAAUUCGAAGCAACGCGAAGAACCUUACCAAAUCUUGACAUCCUUUGACAACUCUAGAGAUAGAGCCUUCCCCUUCGGGGGACAAAGUGACAGGUGGUGCAUGGUUGUCGUCAGCUCGUGUCGUGAGAUGUUGGGUUAAGUCCCGCAACGAGCGCAACCCUUAAGCUUAGUUGCCAUCAUUAAGUUGGGCACUCUAAGUUGACUGCCGGUGACAAACCGGGGGAAGGUGGGGAUGACGUCAAAUCAUCAUGCCCCUUAUGAUUUGGGCUACACACGUGCUACAAUGGACAAUACAAAGGGCAGCGAAACCGCGAGGUCAAGCAAAUCCCAUAAAGUUGUUCUCAGUUCGGAUUGUAGUCUGCAACUCGACUACAUGAAGCUGGAAUCGCUAGUAAUCAUAGAUCAGCAUGCUACGGUGAAUACGUUCCCGGGUCU
rnacentral:rRNA from 1 species